AUCGCUUCUCGGCCUUUUGGCUAAGAUCAAGUGUAGAAUGAUAAUCAGUCUAUAUCGCAUGACUUACCCUGACAAUGAAUAUUACUGUAAGAGGGCGUUGUUUUUCUAAAUUAGACUCUAACUAAGUGGCUUGAAGCUCAACAUUCAGAAAAUGAAAAUCAUGUCAUCUGGUCCCAUCACUUCAUGGGAAAUAGAUGGGGAAAC
rnacentral:snRNA from 1 species